UACGAAGGGGGCUAGCGUUGCUCGGAAUCACUGGGCGUAAAGGGUGCGUAGGCGGGUUUCUAAGUCAGAGGUGAAAUCCUGGAGCUCAACUCCAGAACUGCCUUUGAUACUGAAGAUCUUGAGUUCGGGAGAGGUGAGUGGAACUCCGAGUGUAGAGGUGAAAUUCGUAGAUAUUCGGAAGAACACCAGUGGCGAAGGCGGCUCACUGGCCCGGUACUGACGCUGAGGUGCGAAAGCGUGGGGAGCAAACAGG
rnacentral:rRNA from 1 species